AUCCGAGUCUAGGCGCCGACACAGAAGGUGGAGCAGGGAGGCGUCGGCUGUGCCCGCCCCUGCGACGCAGAAACGCCCCCUCGGCCACGGGUUUGGGAAGACUGGGAGACAGCUGCCUCGUGCUCUAGCAGCCCGCCCCCUGGGCGCCUUUCCCUUCUCAGGACCAAACGAGGGUGCCAUGGGAGGCUCUCCAACCUGUGAGCCAAACAUUUGACCCUGGACGACAGCAAAUUUUAGCACAGAUUAUCCUUGUAGAGCUGCAAGACCUCAAGAAAGCCGGCUAACUCGAGAGUAGGACCCAGAUGAAUUUGGGAGAUGGAUGAAUGCUGUCGUCGAUGGGGGCGGGCUUUCGGCAUCUCACCUGUUGCAUGGCUAGUCAAGUGAAGCAGUGGGAGUGGAAAAGGAGCAAAGCAAUCUGUAACUAGUUGUGAUUCCAUGAACUUUUUGAAAUCCUCUUGUAUUGGCUUCCUUCCCUCUUCUGUCUUACUUCUCUACUCCCUACAAGUGUUUUCUGGGAUCACCUCCAAAUAAACUACUUGCAAUCUAAUCCUGUCUCAAGGUCUGCUGCUGUGGGAACCCAAACUAAGACACCUGUAAAAAAUAUCCUUCCAAUUACUGAAAAAUAUGUUCACUUGCACCCAUAAAAGUGUUUACUGAUACCAUAGACCCUUGGCUGUACAAUAUGGUAGCAGUAUCCACAUGAGCAUUUUGAGGACCUGAAACGUGGCUGGUCCCAGUUGAGAUGUUCUGGAAGUAUGAAACACACUAACUUCAAAGACAGUGUCAAGAAAACUGUGUUUAACUUCUCAUGAAUGAUUUUUUUUUACAUAGAUUACAUGUUAAAAUGAUAAUAUUUGGACACAUUAGUUAAAAACAGAAAGUCAGCGCCCCAACAUUUCCAGGUAGAGAACCUAUCAAAGGAGACUGAAGUGAGAAGAAAAAUAAAUAGAGUCACAGAAGUGAAGAAAAUGUUUCAAGAAAGGAAAGAUGGAGCCCAUGCUCCUGGGAGGCUGGGAAAUUGAGGACAGAAGAGCAGCCACUGUAUUUAACAACAUGGGGACCUUUGGUGAAUUGAUCAAAUCAGUAUUUUAAAAAGAGGGAGACAGACCCUCGUUAAAAUAUGUUGAGGAGAGAAUGGAAUGUGAAGAUGUAAAGACAGAGGUUAUACACAACUUCUCUGAGAAAUGUUGCUGUGAGGAGAGAGAGAAAAUACAUAAUUGCAGGAGAGAAAUCCUUGGGAAAGCAGUCCUCCACACCGUGGACUAUUCCAUAGCCAAUUUUAACAACAUAGGUGAUAGGGUUUGGCUCUGUGUCUCCAACCAAAUCUCAUCUCGAAUUGUAAUCGCCACAAUCCCCAUGUGUUGAGGGAGAAACCCGAUGGGAGGUGAUUGGCUCGUGGAGGCAGUUGUUAUCGUGAUAGUGACUAUUUUAUAAGGGGCUCUUCCCCCUUCACUCCUUGCUCCC